UUAAGUAAGGAAGGGCGUACGGCGAAUGCCUUGCCACUCGAAACUGAAGAAGGACGCGCCAAACUGCGAAAAGCUCCGUGAAGCUGUAAGGAAGCGAAGAAGCGGAGGUGUCCGAAUGGGGGAACCCGGCAGCAGACAUGAGCUGUCAUCUGCAGGUGAAUACAUGGCCUGCAAGAGAGGUACCCGGCGAACUGAAACAUCUAAGUAGCCGGAGGAAAAGAAAACAACAGUGAUUCCCUGAGUAGCGGCGAGCGAAAGGGGAGAAGCCCAAACCGGUUGAAGGACCGGGGUUGAAGGACCAUGAUAUGGCAAGAACGAGGAUAGGAGAACGGGAUCGAAAGCCCGGCCGAAGAAGGUGAAAGCCCUGUAACCGAAAUCCAAGGGAGGCCUAAUGGGAUCCUGAGUACGGCGAGACACGAGAAAUCUUGUCGGAAGCAGGCGGGACCAUCCGCCAAGGCUAAAUAUAAACGAGUGAGCGAUAGUGAACCAGUACCGUGAGGGAAAGGUGAAAAGAACCGCGGGAGCGGAGUGAAAGAGAACCUGAAACCGUAUGCCUACAAGAAGUCAGAGCCCGUUAAGGGGUGAUGGCGUGCCUUUUGUAGAAUGAACCGGCGAGUUGCGACAGACUGCGAGGUUAAGGAGGAAAGACCGGAGCCGAAGCGAAAGCGAGUCUUAAGAGGGCGAAAGUAGGAUGUUGCAGACCCGAAACCGGGUGAUCUAGCCAUGAGCAGGUUGAAGUUGAGGUGAAACUCAAUGGAGGACCGAACCGACUACCGUUGAAAAGUUAGCGGAUGACUUGUGGCUAGGGGAGAAAUUCCAAUCGAACCCGGAGAUAGCUGGUUCUCCCCGAAAUAGCUUUAGGGCUAGCGUCGGAAAGAACCUUAGUGAAGGUAGAGCACUGAAUGUGUGAUGGCCCCAUCCCGGGGUACUGAAUACAAUCAAACUGCGAAUGUCAUUAAGGAUGUCCGGCAGUCAGACUGUGAGUGAUAAGGUCCAUGGUCAAGAGGGAAACAGCCCAGACCGCCAGUUAAGGUCCCAAAAUACAGGCUAAGUGGAAAAGGAUGUGGGGAUGCCCAGACAACUAGGAGGUUGGCUCAGAAGCAGCCAUCCUUUAAAGAGUGCGUAACAGCUCACUAGUCGAGUGACCCUGCGCCGAAAAUGUACCGGGGCUAAGCCUGAUACCGAAACUGCGGAUUGUAGGAAACUAUAGUGGUAGGGGAGCGUUGUAUACGAGCAGAAGCCGUACCGUGAGGAGCGGUGGAUUGUAUAGAAGUGAGAAUGCCGGUGUGAGUAGCGAGAUGUAGGUGAGAAUCCUACACACCGAAAGCCCAAGGAUUCCAGGGGAAGGUUCGUCCGCCCUGGGUAAGUCGGGACCUAACGCGAGGCCGAAAGGCGUAGUGGAUGGAAAGCAGGCGAAAGAUUCCUGCACCCGUAUAUGGAGCGAAGGAGUGACGGAGACGGAUAGUGUGACCCUCUUAAUGGAUUGAGGGCGAAGCGAAGCGGCUGGUUACCAGGCAAAUCCGGUAACCUUAAGGCUAGAGCGUGACAGGUAAGCGAAAUCUUAGGAAAGUAGCGAAGCACAUGAUGACGGCUUCCAGGAAAAGCUUCUGGCAAUGCAUAUGCGGCCCGUACCAAAACCGACACAGGUGGGCAGGGAGAGAAUCCCGAGGUGAGCGAGAGAACUGUUGCCAAGGAACUCGGCAAAAUGACUCCGUAAGUUAGCGAGAAGGAGUGCUUAAGCAAUUAAGCCGCAGUGAAGAGGCCCAAGCGACUGUUUAACUAAAACACAGCUCUCUGCGAAGUCGCAAGACGAAGUAUAGGGGGUGACACCUGCCCGGUGCUGGAAGGUUAAGAGGAUCUGUUAAGAGCGAUCUGAAGCAGUGAUCCGAAGCCCCAGUGAACGGCGGCCGUAACUAUAACGGUCCUAAGGUAGCGAAAUUCCUUGUCAGGUAAGUUCUGACCCGCACGAAAGGUGUAACGAUUUGGGCGCUGUCUCGGCAGCAGACUCGGUGAAAUCUUAGUACCUGUGAAAAUGCAGGUUACCCGCAACUAGACGGAAAGACCCCAUGGAGCUUUACUGCAGCCUGAUAUUGAAUUCUGGUCAUACAUGUACAGGAUAGGUGGGAGACAAAGAGACGUGCACGCCAGUGUACGAGGAGUCGGCGUUGGGAUACCACUCUUGUGUGACCGGGGUUCUAACCUGGUAUCGAGAACAGGUACGGGGAGAGUGUCAGGUGGGCAGUUUGACUGGGGCGGUCGCCUCCCAAAGAGUAACGGAGGCGCCCAAAGGUACGCUCAGAUUGGAUGGAAACCAAUCGACGAGUGCAAUUGCAGAAGCGUGCUUGACUGUGAGACAGACAAGUCGAACAGGGACGAAAGUCGGGAAUAGUGAUCCGGCGGUGCCGAAUGGAAGGGCCGUCGCUCAACGGAUAAAAGCUACCCUGGGGAUAACAGGCUGAUCUCGCCCAAGAGUUCACAUCGACGGCGAGGUUUGGCACCUCGAUGUCGGCUCAUCGCAUCCUGGAGCUGGAUUCGGUUCCAAGGGUUGGGCUGUCCGCCCAUUAAAGCGGUACGCGAGCUGGGUUCAGAACGUCGUGAGACAGUUCGGUCCCUAUCUGUUGUGGGCGAAGGAGAUCUGCGGAGAGCUGUCCUCAGUACGAGAGGACCGGGAUGGACCUACCGCUGGUGCACCGGUUGUUCCGCCAGGGGCAUAGCCGGGUAGCUAAGUAGGGAAAGGAUAAGCGCUGAAAGCAUCUAAGCACGAAGCCUACUCCAAGAUGAGAUCUCCCAUUCGCAAGAAGUAAGACCCCUUAAAGACGAUAAGGUAGAUAGGCCAGGGAUGGAAGUGCAGUGAUGUACGGAGUUGACUGGUACUAAUCGGUCGAGGACUUAAUCAG
rnacentral:rRNA from 1 species